rnacentral:rRNA from 1 species
UGGGGAAUCUUGGACAAUGGGCGCAAGCCUGAUCCAGCCAUGCCGCGUGAGUGAUGAAGGCCCUAGGGUCGUAAAACUCUUUCGCCAGGGAUGAUAAUGACAGUACCUGGUAAAGAAACCCCGGCUAACUCCGUGCCAGCAGCCGCGGUAAUACGGAGGGGGUUAGCGUUGUUCGGAAUUACUGGGCGUAAAGCGUACGUAGGCGGAUUAGUAAGUUAGGGGUGAAAUCCCAGGGCUCAACCCUGGAACUGCCUCUAAAACUGCUAGUCUAGAGAUCGAGAGAGGUGAGUGGAAUUCCAAGUGUAGAGGUGAAAUUCGUAGAUAUUUGGAGGAACACCAGUGGCGAAGGCGGCUCACUGGCUCGAUACUGACGCUGAGGUACGAAAGUGUGGGGAGCAAACAGGAUUAGAUACCCUGGUAGUCCACACCGUAAACGAUGAAUGCCAGUCGUCAGCAAGCAUGCUUGUUGGUGACACACCUAACGGAUUAAGCAUUCCGCCUGGGGAGUACGGUCGCAAGAUUA